rnacentral:lncRNA from 1 species
AUUACUUGAGAGUUGAUUUGAUGCUUUCAGACUUCCUAUUCCUGGGGACACAAAUAGUCAGAGUUUUAGCUAAUCUUUCUUACCUGUGGUUUUGGAAUAGCCUAGUGUUACAGAUACUAGAAUCAAAAAUAAGGCUGUGGUUAGCACCAAAGCCAGAGGCCUUUGCCUUGCUGGGCGUACCCACUCCUGCUCUGCCAUGGCUCAUGUGGUAAAGCUCAACUGCUUGUGGAUAAAG